rnacentral:rRNA from 1 species
CAACCUGCCGACAACACUGGGAUAGCCUUUCGAAAGAAAGAUUAAUACCGGAUGGCAUAGUUUUCCCGCAUGGGAUAAUUAUUAAAGAAUUUCGGUUGUCGAUGGGGAUGCGUUCCAUUAGGCAGUUGGCGGGGUAACGGCCCACCAAACCAACGAUGGAUAGGGGUUCUGAGAGGAAGGUCCCCCACAUUGGAACUGAGACACGGUCCAAACUCCUACGGGAGGCAGCAGUGAGGAAUAUUGGUCAAUGGUCGAGAGUCUGAACCAGCCAAGUAGCGUGAAGGAUGACUGCCCUAUGGGUUGUAAACUUCUUUUAUACGGGAAUAAAGUUAGCCACGUGUGGCUUUUUGUAUGUACCGUAUGAAUAAGGAUCGGCUAACUCCGUGCCAGCAGCCGCGGUAAUACGGAGGAUCCGAGCGUUAUCCGGAUUUAUUGGGUUUAAAGGGAGCGUAGGCGGGUUGUUAAGUCAGUUGUGAAAGUUUGCGGCUCAACCGUAAAAUUGCAGUUGAUACUGGCGACCUUGAGUGCAACAGAGGUAGGCGGAAUUCGUGGUGUAGCGGUGAAAUGCUUAGAUAUCACGAAGAACUCCGAUUG